rnacentral:rRNA from 1 species
GACGAACGCUGGCGGCGUGCUUAACACAUGCAAGUCGAACGGAAAGGCCCUGCUUUUGUGGGGUGCUCGAGUGGCGAACGGGUGAGUAACACGGGAGUAACCUGCCCUUGACUUUGGGAUAACUUCAGGAAACUGGGGCUAAUACCGGAUAGGAGCUCCUGCUGCAUGGUGGGGGUUGGAAAGUUUCGGCGGUUGGGGAUGGACUCGCGGCUUAUCAGCUUGUUGGUUGGGUAGUGGCUUACCAAGGCUUUGACGGGUAGCCGGCCUGAGAGGGUGACCGGCCACAUUGGGACUGAGAUACGGCCCAGACUCCUACGGGAGGCAGCAGUGGGGAAUAUUGCACAAUGGGCGGAAGCCUGAUGCAGCAACGCCGCGUGCGGGAUGACGGCCUUCGGGUUGUAAACCGCUUUCGCCUGUGACGAAGCGUGAGUGACGGUAAUGGGUAAAGAAGCACCGGCUAACUACGUG